AUCUGUACAGUAAUUUAAUUUGAAAGAGGCUAGACUGCACAGGGCUUUACAAGUAUAAAGCAUAAAAAGAUUUUUAUAAUGUCUAACCUCUUUCAAAUAAAAUUACUGUACAGACUUAAUUGCACUACGCUGCUCAAAAAUUCUAAAGCUCAAGUAUGCAAAUAAUCACACGCUGCACCCUUUUUGCAAUGCCCACUUUCAUGGUACGUGCACACUCUAUGCCCUCUGAAGGGGGGCCUAGAAGAGUCUCCCCUGCCAAAUGAUGACUGCUUAUUCCAUGGCUUGCCUCCACCAUAACCGGUGUCUCCACCCUGAGAACCACCAUCCCUUUGGCUUGAGUAUCUGUCCCCAUUGUUCUUUUCACUUCCCCAUGACCCCAUGUUCCCUGGAGAUGCUGCCCAACUGGGAUUUGCAUUCCCAGGAGGUGGCCCUUGGCCAGGUGCAACCCAAGCUGGAUUGGCAUUUACUGGUGUUUGAACUUGGCCAGGUGGCACCCAACCUGGAAAUGCAUUUCCCUGUGCUUGACCCUGAACAGGAGCAGCCCAACCCAGAUUUGCGUUUCCAGGUGCUUGCGCUUGCCCAUGCGCAACCCAGCCUGGGUUUGCGUUUGCAGGUGCUGGCCCCUGACCAGAUACAACCCAACCCUGAUUUGAAUUUGCAGACACAGGUCCUCCCCAGCCCAUGUUUGGAUUUCCUUGAACCGGCCCCCAACCAAUAUUUUGAUUUUCUAGCC
rnacentral:misc_RNA from 1 species